rnacentral:piRNA from 1 species
GACAUGAACGGUGUCAACACAGAGAUGAACA